UUCCAAAUCAUCUUGAUAGAACAGCACUGCAGUUUUCCUCUGGCUUCCUUGAGUAGAUGCACAUUAGACUAGCAAUGGCAAAAUGAAUGCAAGUGUUCCUCAAGCUCUAUAAGGUCUUCACUUCACAAAUGGAAUCCCGGAUGGAGUUCGCUGAGCAUAUUCCUCAUAUUGAGACCCAAAAAACUGUCUCAAGAAAAACUCUUCGUAUGGUAUCCGGUCUGCAAAGGAAGCUCCAGACAACAACUGCAAAUGCAAUUGUCGAUAUGGGAUUACAGAGCAUUAUCUGAGUGCUAACUGACCAGAUGAAGAAACCAGUAUAUCCCGGAUGACGAACAAAACUAUAGACUCCAUGAGUAAUUAGCUUGUGAUGCUCCUCAUGAUAAAUCUUGAUAACAUGUGUGAAGGCCCGCCCAGCUGUUAUAAUUGCUAUUUUCCGAAUGAGUUCCCCAAUUAAGACAAGUGCAAGGCCUAAGUUAGUCACCCACCAAUAUUCCUUCAAUGCAGGAAAUAAAGAAAUUUCAAUGAAGUAUUCAAGCAAUGAUAAUAUCAUCGCCAGAAGAUAGUUCUUGCUGAUCAGAAGUGACUUGAGUGUAACAUUUGAUUUCCCAUGAAAGGCAACUGCUAGAAUGUAUUCAGAACCAUGAAAGAAGAUAAUGGCCAAAAACAUCUGAGAUAACUGUCUGCAGGUUGGGUAACCGAAUAUCUCAUUUUUGUCAAACUUUGUGAGUCAAUUUCAGUCUCUGAUGCACUGAAACAGAUCUACAAUGCUAUGCUAUCUUAGUGAAUGGCUACAAUAAAAAU
rnacentral:misc_RNA from 1 species